rnacentral:rRNA from 1 species
UACGUAGGUGGCAAGCGUUGUCCGGAAUUAUUGGGCGUAAAGCGCGCGCAGGCGGCUUCUUAAGUCCAUCUUAAAAGUGCGGGGCUUAACCCCGUGAUGGGAUAGAAACUGAGAGGCUGGAGUAUCGGAGAGGAAAGUGGAAUUCCUAGUGUAGCGGUGAAAUGCGUAGAGAUUAGGAAGAACACCGGUGGCGAAGGCGACUUUCUGGACGACAACUGACGCUGAGGCGCGAAAGCGUGGGGAGCAAACAGG